GAAUGAACGCUAGCUACAGGCUUAACACAUGCAAGUCGAGGGGCAGCAUGGUCUUAGCUUGCUAAGGCCGAUGGCGACCGGCGCACGGGUGAGUAACACGUAUCCAACCUGCCGUCUACUCUUGGACAGCCUUCUGAAAGGAAGAUUAAUACAAGAUGGCAUCAUGAGUCCGCAUGUUCACAUGAUUAAAGGUAUUCCGGUAGACGAUGGGGAUGCGUUCCAUUAGAUAGUAGGCGGGGUAACGGCCCACCUAGUCUUCGAUGGAUAGGGGUUCUGAGAGGAAGGUCCCCCACAUUGGAACUGAGACACGGUCCAAACUCCUACGGGAGGCAGCAGUGAGGAAUAUUGGUCAAUGGGCGAGAGCCUGAACCAGCCAAGUAGCGUGAAGGAUGACUGCCCUAUGGGUUGUAAACUUCUUUUAUAAAGGAAUAAAGUCGGGUAUGGAUACCCGUUUGCAUGUACUUUAUGAAUAAGGAUCGGCUAACUCCGUGCCAGCAGCCGCGGUAAUACGGAGGAUCCGAGUGUUAUCCGGAUUUAUUGGGUUUAAAGGGAGCGUAGAUGGAUGUUUAAGUCAGUUGUGAAAGUUUGCGGCUCAACCGUAAAAUUGCAGUUGAUACUGGAUAUCUUGAGUGCAGUUGAGGCAGGCGGAAUUCGUGGUGUAGCGGUGAAAUGCUUAGAUAUCACGAAGAACUCCGAUUGCGAAGGCAGCCUGCUAAGCUGCAACUGACAUUGAGGCUCGAAAGUGUGGGUAUCAAACAGGAUUAGAUACCCUGGUAGUCCACACGGUAAACGAUGAAUACUCGCUGUUUGCGAUAUACUGCAAGCGGCCAAGCGAAAGCGUUAAGUAUUCCACCUGGGGAGUACGCCGGCAACGGUGAAACUCAAAGGAAUUGACGGGGGCCCGCACAAGCGGAGGAACAUGUGGUUUAAUUCGAUGAUACGCGAGGAACCUUACCCGGGCUUAAAUUGCAGAUGAAUUACGGUGAAAGCCGUAAGCCGCAAGGCAUCUGUGAAGGUGCUGCAUGGUUGUCGUCAGCUCGUGCCGUGAGGUGUCGGCUUAAGUGCCAUAACGAGCGCAACCCUUGUUGUCAGUUACUAACAGGUUCCGCUGAGGACUCUGACAAGACUGCCAUCGUAAGAUGUGAGGAAGGUGGGGAUGACGUCAAAUCAGCACGGCCCUUACGUCCGGGGCCACACACGUGUUACAAUGGGGGGUACAGAGGGCCGCUACCACGCGAGUGGAUGCCAAUCCCCAAAACCUCUCUCAGUUCGGACUGGAGUCUGCAACCCGACUCCACGAAGCUGGAUUCGCUAGUAAUCGCGCAUCAGCCACGGCGCGGUGAAUACGUUCCCGGGCCU
rnacentral:rRNA from 1 species